UUCAUAUACAACAAAAAGGAUGACAAAGAGGAGAGUUUGUGUGUCAGAUGAAGUCGUACUAGUUAGUCAAGCUAGAGGAUGAAUUAGAAAUAAUCCAAUUUCCUUUAUUUUAUAGAUGCAAAAAAUAAAGUUUGGACUUAUCCAAGGGCCUAUAAGGGUUUUCCUCUGUUAUCUCCCCAUAGAUAAUGGAUUUUUUUUUUUUCUGCCUUAAUUUACCUGGGGAGGCCCACACAAUAUGAAAAGGCAAAAACCUGGCCCUCAGUAGGUCUGGUCUACCUAACGGAUCGGGUGGUACUUACCUGGACCUCCAUGAGUUAGUCUCUGCUGCGUCUUCCAGAGAAAAGAGAAUAGAUCGUCCUCUGGCUGAUACAAACAAGGGAAGACAGCAGCUGUAUGUGACCUUGUAUUCUGACAUGGUUCUGGCAUCUGGACAGAAUCUUUUUGGUAGCCUGUGCUUUGUCACUUUCUAGAAAUACAGCAGUUAGGCACCUGGGCUCAGGACUUAACCACUCCACAAGAGUCCAGACCUCCUUGAAGGUAGGAGAAAGGAGUCCCAGUGCUCUCAGCAUUUGGUUAUCAUUCUCAGGUGGGCUUUGGUGUCCAGUUAAUGAGCAGGCAUCGUGCCAGGAAGAGAUACUUGAACUUAGAUCUCAAAGGGUAUGUUCUCUGAAGCUGAAAUCAUAAACCGGAACAUCUGAUGUGUGUCUCAUACACAAUGAAGGAGGGGAGGACUGCUGACGGAAAUGUCACAAGCAGCUGCUUUUAGCACUUGGCUCUCACCAAUGAAGCUUUCCCCUCGGCCACUACACCCCACCCUUUUCCUGCAUGAAAGCAAUUUAAGGCUCUUCUCAUUCUGCACGCCGGGAAACAGGCUGUUAAUAUAUAUCUGUUAAAUCAGUCUAGUUCAUGGCUGGUUGAUGUGCCUGGUGGGUCAUGAGAAUGACUGUCUCAGUUACUGUUUUGAAUCAGGAAAGAGAGACAAUCACGUGCCCUGCCCUGAAAGGAUGUUGGGCCAGACUAUAUAUGAUUUCUACUCAUCCUCAUCAUUCUGCCUGGAAUAUAAUUUUCCUGGAAGAGCCUUUUCUUCUGAGAUGAAGAGACCAUCAAAAGCAGUGCCGUAGCCACUGCCUCCUAUUCCUUCACCUCAUUUUCCCUGUUCCUGCCUUAAUCCUCUCUCCCUUGGUGACUUCGUCUCUAUGAGAAUGAAUGUUAUCCCAUUCCAA